UACGUAGGGCGCGAGCGUUGUCCGGAAUCAUUGGGCGUAAAGAGCUCGUAGGCGGCCUGUCGCGUCUGCUGUGAAAUCCCGGGGCUCAACCCCGGGCGUGCAGUGGAUACGGGCUGGCUGGAGGGAGGCAGGGGAGAACGGAAUUCCCGGUGUAGCGGUGAAAUGCGCAGAUAUCGGGAGGAACACCGGUGGCGAAGGCGGUUCUCUGGGCCUGUACUGACGCUGAGGAGCGAAAGCGUGGGGAGCGAACAGG
rnacentral:rRNA from 1 species